CCGCUAUUGGAGUCCGAUUAAGACAUGCGAGUCGAGAGCUUUCGGAGCUCGGCAUACUGCUCAGUAACACGUGGGUAACCUGCCCUAUGCUGGGGGAUAACCUCGGGAAACUGAGAACAAUACCCCAUAGUCCACUACGCCUGGAACGGUGAGUGGAUGAAAGCCCCGGCGGCAUAGGAUGGGCCUGCGGCGUAUCAGGUUGUAGGGGGUGUAAUGUACCCUCUAGCCCUCGACGCGUACGGGUUGUGAGAGCAAUAGCCCGGAGAUGGAUUCUGAGACAAGAAUCCAGGUCCUACGGGACGCAGCAGUCGCGAAACCUUGACAAUGCAGGAAACCGUGAUCAGGGGACUCCAAGUGCCAGGAGUAAGAUCCUGUGCUUUUCAUCUCUCUUCAAAGGAUUUGGAAUAAGAGGUGGGUAAGGACGGUGCCAGCCGCCGCGGUAAUACCGGCGCCUCAAGUGGUAGUCGAUUUUAUUGGGCCUAAAACGUCCGUCGCCGGUCUGGUGCAUUCGUGGGUAAAUCAACCCGCUCAACGGGUUGAAUUCUGCGAGCACGGCCAGACUAGGGACCGGGAGAGGUGUAGGGUACGCUCGGGGUAGGGGUAAAAUCCUGUCAUCCCGAGCGGACCACCUGUUGCGAAGGCGCUACACUAGAACGGAUCCGACGGUCAGGGACGAAGCCUAGGGGCACGAACCGGAUUAGAUACCCGGGUAGUCCUAGGUGUAAACGCUGUGGACUUGGUGUUGGAAGCUCCCAGAGGGCUUUCAGUGCCGUAGCGAAGGUGAUAAGUCCACUGCCUGGGGAGUACGGUCGCAAGGCUGAAACUUAAAGGAAUUGGCGGGGGAACACCGCAACCUGAGGAUUGUGCGG
rnacentral:rRNA from 1 species